rnacentral:rRNA from 1 species
UACGGAGGGUGCAAGCGUUAUCCGGAUUUACUGGGUUUAAAGGGUGUGUAGGCGGACUUUUAAGUCAGCGGUGAAAUCUCCGGGCUCAACCCGGAAACUGCCAUUGAUACUAUUGGUCUUGAAUGUUGUUGAGGUGGGCGGAACGGGUCAUGUAGCGGUGAAAUGCAUAGAUAUGACCCGGAACACCGAUUGCGAAGGCAGCCCACUAAGCAAUGAUUGACGCUGAGGCACGAAGCGUGG